GUAACCUAUAACCAAACCACCUGGAAUGGGCCUGAUCUUGUCUGAUCUCAGAAGCUAAGCAGGUUUUAACAUGGAUGGUGCUUAUAUGGGCGACCACCAUGCACAGAUGGUAAAGGCUGCU
rnacentral:rRNA from 1 species